GGAAGAUCCAAAUUUGUUUGCUUUAUUCGAAAUGGAACUCAAAACUGUUGGAAAAAAGCCCAACUUUACCAAAAAUUGUUGGAGAAAAUUAUUGGUCGAUGAACUGGUGGAAAAACUGUGCUGAAAAGGGACGGAGCAAAAAAAAAAGUGUACGCAGCCUAAGUACAUCGAAAUCAAUUAGAAAUGCUGCAAUUUCUAUUGGAAUCGGAGAGGAUGAAUUAAUCCGGAACACAAAGUCUUUCUUCCAAUUUGCCAAAAACCGC